GGUUAAAAAGCUCGUAGUUGGAUCCCGGCAAGUAGAGGGCGGUAUGCUUCGUAGCAUUACUGCCCUAUUACUUGUAGUUUUGCCAGAGGUUCCUGGGUGCUCUUAAUCGAGUGUCUAGGGAUGCUGGCAGGCUUACUUUGAAAAAAUUAGAGUGCUCAAAGCAGGCUAUUACGCUUGAAUAUUCGUGCAUGGAAUAAUAGAAUAGGAAGUUGUUUCUAUUUUGUUGGUUUUCGGAAAUCGACUUAAUGAUUAAUAGGGACAGUCGGGGGCAUUUGUAUUCAAACGACAGAGGUGAAAUUCUUGGACCGUUUGAAGACAAACUACUGCGAAAGCAUUUGCCAAGAAUGUUUUCAUUAAUCAAGAACGAAAGUUAGAGGUUCGAAGGCGAUUAGAUACCGCCCUAGUUCUAACCAUAAACGAUGCCAGCUAGCGAUCUGAGGACGUUUUUUUUGUAGACUCCUCAGGAAGCUUCCGGGAAACCAAAGCGUGUGGGUUCCGGGGGAAGUAUGGUUGCAAAGCUGAAACUUAAAGGGAUUGACGGAAGGGCACCACCAGGAGUGGAGCCUGCGGCUUAAUUUGACUCAACACGGGAAAUCUCACCAGGCCCGGACACUGGAAGGAUUGACAGAUUGAGAGCUCUUUCUCGAU
rnacentral:rRNA from 1 species